GGAGAGAUGGCAGAGUGGUCGAAUGCGGCGGUCUUGAAAACCGUUGUACCGAAAGGUACCGGGGGUUCGAAUCCCUCUCUCUCCGCCA
rnacentral:tRNA from 1 species